GCCUGGGUGGCUCAGUCAGUUAAGCGUCUGACUUCGGAUCAGGUCAUGAUCUCGCGAUCUGUGAGUUCAAGCCCCGCAUCGGGCU
rfam:Felis catus isolate Cinnamon breed Abyssinian chromosome A3, whole genome shotgun sequence.